rnacentral:rRNA from 1 species
UACGUAGGGUCCGAGCGUUGUCCGGAAUUACUGGGCGUAAAGAGCUCGUAGGUGGUUUGUCGCGUUGUUCGUGAAAAACUCACAGCUUAACUGUGGGCGUGCGGGCGAUACGGGCAGACUUGAGUACUGCAGGGGAGACUGGAAUUCCAGGUGUAGCGGUGAAAUGCGUAGAUAUCUGGAGGAAUACCGGUGGCGAAGGCGGCAUCCUGGACCGAGAUUGACGCUGAGGAGCGAAAGCUAGGGGAGCAAAGCGGG